CGGACGGGUGAGUAACACGUGGAUAACCUACCUAUAAGACUGGGAUAACUUCGGGAAACCGGAGCUAAUACCGGAUAAUAUAUUGAACCGCAUGGUUCAAUAGUGAAAGACGGUUUUGCUGUCACUUAUAGAUGGAUCCGCGCCGCAUUAGCUAGUUGGUAAGGUAACGGCUUUCCAAGGCAACGAUGCGUAGCCGACCUGAGAGGGUGAUCGGCCACACUGGAACUGAGACACGGUCCAG
rnacentral:rRNA from 1 species